rnacentral:rRNA from 1 species
UUGAACGCUGGCGGCAGGCCUAACACAUGCAAGUCGAGCGGUAGAGAGAAGCUUGCUUCUCUUGAGAGCGGCGGACGGGUGAGUAAUGCCUAGGAAUCUGCCUGGUAGUGGGGGAUAACGUUCGGAAACGAACGCUAAUACCGCAUACGUCCUACGGGAGAAAGCAGGGGACCUUCGGGCCUUGCGCUAUCAGAUGAGCCUAGGUCGGAUUAGCUAGUUGGUGAGGUAAUGGCUCACCAAGGCGACGAUCCGUAACUG